CCUACGGGAGGCAGCAGUGAGGAAUAUUGGUCAAUGGCCGAAAGUCUGAACCAGCCAAGUCGCGUGAAGGACGAAGGUGCCAUGCGUUGUAAACUUCUUUUGUAAAGGGAUAAAACGAGGCACGUGUGCCUGUUUGCGGGUACUUUAUGAAUAAGGAUCGGCUAACUCCGUGCCAGCAGCCGCGGUAAUACGGAGGAUGCGAGCGUUAUCCGGAUUUAUUGGGUUUAAAGGGGGCGUAGGGGGGUUGGUAAGUCAGGUGUGAAAGUUUGCGGCUCAACCGUAAACUGGCAAUUGAGACUGGCAGUCUUGAGUACAGGUGAGGUAGGCGGAAUGCGUGGUGUAGCGGUGAAAUGCUUAGAUAUCGCGAAGAACCCCGAUUGCGAAGGCAGCAUACUAACCGGGGACUGACAUUGAGGCACGAAAGUGUGGGUAUCAAACAGGAUUAGAUACCCCUGUAGUC
rnacentral:rRNA from 1 species